GACGAACGCUGGCGGCGCGCUUAACACAUGCAAGUCGAACGGAAAGGCCUGCUUUCCCUUGUGGAUUGCGGGUACUCGAGUGGCGAACGGGUGAGUAACACGUGAGUGAUCUGCCCCCAACUUGGGUAUAAGCCUGGGAAACUGGGUCUAAUUCCCGAUAGGACUGCAGGGUGGUGCCUGUGGUGGAAAACGAUUUUCUAGUGGUUGGGGAUGAGCUCGCGGCCUAUCAGCUUGUUGGUGGGGUAAUGGCCUACCAAGGCGGCGACGGGUAGCCGGCCUGGGAGGGGGGACGGCCACAUUGGGACUGAGAUACGGCCCAGACUCCUACGGGAGGCAGCAGUGGGGAAUAUUGCACAAUGGGCGGAAGCCUGAUGCAGCGACGCCGCGUGGGGGAUGACGGCCUUCGGGUUGUAAACUCCUUUCGACCGCGAGGAAGCCACCUGGUUGGAAGGGUGGUGACGGUAGUGGUAGAAGAAGCACCGGCUAACUACGUG
rnacentral:rRNA from 1 species